UACGUAGGAGACGAGCGUUGUCCGGAGUUACUGGGCGUAAAGGGUGCGCAGGUGGCGGCGCGCGUGGGGGGGUGAAAUCGCCCGGCUUAACUGGGCGGGGGCCUUCCAGACGGCGUGGCUUGAGCAGCGGAGGGGGGACGUGGAAUUCCUGGUGUAGCGGUGAAAUGCGCAGAUAUCAGGAGGAACACCGAUGGCGAAGGCAGCUCGCUGGGACGGUACUGACGCUGAGGCGCGAAAGCGUGGGGAGCAAACAGG
rnacentral:rRNA from 1 species